GGGGAUUUAGCUCAGUGGUAGAGCGCUUGCCUAGCAAGUGCAAGGCCCUGAGUUCGAUCCUCAGCUCUG
rnacentral:tRNA from 1 species